rnacentral:rRNA from 1 species
UACGUAGGGUGCAAGCGUUGUCCGGAAUUAUUGGGCGUAAAGAGCUCGUAGGCGGUCUGUCGCGUCGGAUGUGAAACCUCGGGGCUCAACCCCGAGCCUGCAUUCGAUACGGGCAGACUAGAGUUCGGUAGGGGAGACUGGAAUUCCUGGUGUAGCGGUGAAAUGCGCAGAUAUCAGGAGGAACACCGAUGGCGAAGGCAGGUCUCUGGGCCGAUACUGACGCUGAGGAGCGAAAGCGUGGGGAGCGAACAGG